CGCAGCUUCGUCAAAUUCAGUGCUCACCUGCUCUGUGGUCAGUACUGGCCUUAUGGCUGCUAAAUAAAACAGUGCAGCUCAUGGGCCCCAGUCUGUGCUGUUGGACCUGGGGAUAAAAGCAUGCUGCAGAUAAGU
rnacentral:snoRNA from 1 species